rnacentral:misc_RNA from 1 species
GCUAAACAAAGAUCGUUCAUUCAAGAUACUCUUUACCGCCUUCAAGAUCCUUUGAGAGAAUUUCAAAACUAUACCAACACAACUCGAAACAGAAACGCGCGUUAUUACGAAUUUCAUACGAGUUCGUUACAAGAUUCGGUUCCCGAAAUACGACCAGCAUCUCGGUUCAAUCUUCCACGGAGAUUGAAGCACCGUUGGGACAUGUAACUUCGAAUAUGAAUACAUUGAGGGACGCUUGUCCGUGUUACGGACGGAACACGACGAAAAUUCUGGUAUACAUAUUCAGCUCGAAGAGUGAACGUUCGCGGAUUCCGUUUCGAGAAUUCCGCUUCGCGUCAGGAUCGUCGAAUGCGUCGUUACUGAUGCGGCUUGGAUGAGCGAUUCUGGAAAUCUAAUUAUCAAUUAAAUUUUGAAGCAUUAAAGGACUG